ACAAGACAACACCUGCUAGCUUCCCGCAAACUUUGACGCUUUUUCGCCCUAAAAAUGGAGGAUUUUAUAUCUAAAAUAAGGAAUUUUUCAAGAGUAGACUUUUAAUGAAAGCAGGAAGUCAUGAAUACUAGGAGAGCAACGCCAGAUUUGAUUGACAGGGAGCGUGUUUGGAGCCAAAUGUACAGUGCCUUCCGCCCCCAUGCAGCUGAGGUAGACUCCAGCAACCCCGGGAGGGACAAGCGGUAGGAAAUGGCUGGAUGGGAUGGAUCUGAAAAAGCUGCCGAGAAGCCUCGACAAAUAUGAAAGCUCAUCUGCCAACAUUCAAGGAGCUUGCAUUUGGUGGCAAUGAUCUGCAUGGAGGACGAGGGACUUUUAAAAGUCAAAAGAAGAAGGAGAAAAAGGAGGACUUCUACAACAAAGCCAUGGAGAUCUUCGUCCAGGAGGAAAGGCGAAUGGACUUCAUUGACAAGUAAAGGAAGUGGAAACAAUAUCAACUCUUUAUUGAUCAAUUGUUGGAGCUCACACCUACUUCCUGUUGCUGUCUACAGCGCUAAGCCUUCUGGGCGGCGAGAACAACGCUCCUGAAAGCCUCCCGACUAUCUCCCGUCAGCCGGCGUCUGAGUGCAGGAGGGCUGAACGUGGCGGCGAGCGGAGGUGUGCUUGACAGGU